CCUACGGGUGGCAGCAGUGAGGAAUAUUGGUCAAUGGACGCAAGUCUGAACCAGCCAAGCCGCGUGAAGGAAGACGGUUCUAUGAAUUGUAAACUGCUUUUGUACGGGGGUAAAAGCAGACACGAGUACCUGACUGAGAGUAUCGUAAGAAAAAGGAUCGGCUAACUCCGUGCCAGCAGCCGCGGUAAUACGGAGGAUGCAAGCGUUAUCCGGAAUUAUUGGGUUUAAAGGGUGCGUAGGAGGUCUGGUAAGUCAGAGGUGAAAUCCCGAGGCUCAACUCCGGAAUUGCCUGUGAUACUGUUCGGCUAGAGAGGUGGAGAGGGAGGCGGAAUGCACGGUGUAGCGGUGAAAUGCUUAGAGAUCGAGCAGAACACCGAUUGCGAAGGCAGCAUACCGGGCUAGAUCUGACGCUGAGGCACGAAAGCGUGGGGAGCGAACAGGAUUAGAUACCCUUGUAGUC
rnacentral:rRNA from 1 species